rnacentral:rRNA from 1 species
UACGGGGGGGCAAGCGUUGUUCGGAAUUGCUGGGCGGAAAGGGCUCGUAGGCGGCCAACUAAGUCAGACGUGAAAUCCCUCGGCUUAACCGGGGAACUGCAUCUGAUACUGGAUGGCUUGAGUUCGGGAGAGGGAUGCGGAAUUCCAGGUGUAGCGGUGAAAUGCGUAGAUAUCUGGAGGAACACCGGUGGCGAAGGCGGCAUCCUGGACCGACACUGACGCUGAGGAGCGAAAGCCAGGGGAGCAAACGGG